UACGUAGGGUGCAAGCGUUGAUCGGAAUUACUGGGCGUAAAGCGUGCGCAGGCGGUUAUGCAAGACAGAGGUGAAAUCCCCGGGCUCAAACUGGGAACUGCCUUUGUGACUGCAUGGCUAGAGUACGGUAGAGGGGGAUGGAAUUCCGCGUGUAGCAGUGAAAUGCGUAGAUAUGCGGAGGGACACCGAUGGCGAAGGCAAUCCCCUGGACCUGUACUGACGCUCAUGCACGAAAGCGUGGGGAGCAAACAGG
rnacentral:rRNA from 1 species